UACGUAGGGUGCGAGCGUUGUCCGGAAUCACUGGGCGUAAAGGGCGCGUAGGCGGCUCAUGAAGGCUGUGGUGAAGGUUCGGGGCUCAACCUCGGAUCGGCCGUGGCGACUCGUGGGCUGGAGCACUGUAGAGGCGGGUGGAAUUCCGGGUGUAGCGGUGGAAUGCGUAGAGAUCCGGAAGAACACCAGUGGCGAAGGCGGCCCGCUGGGCAGUGGCUGACGCUGAAGCGCGACAGCGUGGGGAGCAAACAGG
rnacentral:rRNA from 1 species